UACGUAGGGUGCAAGCGUUGUCCGGAAUUAUUGGGCGUAAAGAGCUUGUAGGCGGUUUGUCGCGUCUGCUGUGAAAUUUCGGGGCUCAACCCCGAACUUGCAGUGGGUACGGGCAGACUAGAGUGUGGUAGGGGAGACUGGAAUUCCUGGUGUAGCGGUGAAAUGCGUAGAUAUCGAGAGGAACACCUGCGGCGAAGGCGGGUUGCUGGGCUGACACUGACGCUGAGGCGCGAAAGCCAGGGGAGCGAACGGG
rnacentral:rRNA from 1 species